UAUCAGUCAUGCAAAUGAGGCUGAAUUCAUUUUCCACAACAGAUGGCCUCAUAGAUAAUGAUGAUGGAAGAGAGAAAAUUGAAUGUCUCUCACAAGGUGGCCAUGGCAACCGAGAGCAGAAUAAUAUCAAUAAUAAGCUCACUGCAUAAUAAGGUUGUCAGUCCUACAAAUCAAAGUCUCCAGCUAAAUCAGGUACACCACCCCAGCUAGUUACCAGCCCGGGUCUCAGGAAGGCUCUUGUAACUAGCCAUAUUGAAACUGGGGAUGUGGCUGCGGGUGGAAGUCUUUUCUCCUUCCGCCCGCCGCCUCCUCCUCCUCCUCUCCCUCUCUGAUGUGGUGAGCUGCAUGGAUGCAGAGCUGCUCGCCCGAGGCUCCACCUUGGCUCCCAGGGGGACAUCCUGCGAAAUGAAUCAGCAGCCAUCCUGAGCAGGCUGAUUAAAAUUAAAAUGGCAAGGCACAUGUCUGGGCGGAACAGGAGCCCAGCUCUGCUGCCUGUCUGGCAAGCAUGCUCAAUAUAGCUCUUGCUAAUAAUGGCUUACUGCCUUGCGUUUUUUAAAAAGCAGGAACAGCGGUUGAUAAGCCCUGAGGUCGAGGUUGCCUGAGAACCGAGACAACAUCUUUACACCCCAGAUACCAUCAUUUCUAGCCCGAUUCCAGGCAGCAGACCUGGCUGGUGAGGGCUGUGCUGCUACAUUUCACGGCUCACAGUUGGACAAGCUGAAAUGCAGCUGGGGUAGAACCUAUUUCUGCUCCAAGCACUUGCAAACAGCCCUUCGCUGUAUCCCAGAUAUUAUGCAAUACAGAAUUAAAAUGGAAAAAAAUGAAGCCUACUGAUAUCAUAAUCCAACAAAAUUUAUUAAACAUAAAUCUUACAUUUUUUUCAAAAUUCUCAAGCAUGGUUUUCAUAUUAGCUUCCAAUAAAUUAAUACAUUUCAGUAUCUAUGCCACAUUUACAGGGUUUUAAAUCUAUUUUUAGGGCACCUUGGAAAUUGGACCGUUAUUUCUUGUCAUAAAUGAAAUAGGUUGAAAAUAAAAAGCAGGAUUUCUUUCAACCAA